rnacentral:tRNA from 2 species
UGGGAAGUAGCUCAAUUGGUAGAGCACCGGUUUUUGGUACCGUAGGUUGCAGGUUCGAGUCCUGCCUUCCCAGCCA